rnacentral:rRNA from 1 species
GAUGAACGCUGGCGGCGUGCCUAAUACAUGCAAGUCGAGCGAACAGACGAGGAGCUUGCUCCUCUGACGUUAGCGGCGGACGGGUGAGUAACACGUGGAUAACCUACCUAUAAGACUGGGAUAACUUCGGGAAACCGGAGCUAAUACCGGAUAAUAUAUUGAACCGCAUGGUUCAAUAGUGAAAGACGGUUUUGCUGUCACUUAUAUAUGGAUCCGCGCUGCAUUAGCUAGUUGGUAAGGUAACGGCUUACCAAGGCAACGAUGCGUAGCCGACCUGAGAGGGUGAUCGGCCACACUGGAACUGAGACACGGUCCAGACUCCUACGGGAGGCAGCAGUAGGGAAUCUUCCGCAAUGGGCGAAAGCCUGACGGAGCAACGCCGCGUGAGUGAUGAAGGUCUUCGGAUCGUAAAACUCUGUUAUUAGGGAAGAACAAAUGUGUAAGUAACUAUGCACGUCUUGACGGUACCUAAUCAGAAAGCCACGGCUAACUACGUG